CAUGUGAAUAGUGCCUCUGGGGGCUGGCCAGGGGUGGUGGUUGCCUGUGUGACAACCCUGAAGUAUAUUCCUGGUACAAGAUCUGCAGGAGGUGAAGGGAGCUAGGGAAGCAAUUGAAGGUUUCAGGUAUGGGUGGGAAAACAUAAUCUGAACGUCAAGGCUACCUUUAGUUGGCUAGCAGACCUAUCAAUUGAGAAAAAAACAAAAGGGUAGACGUGAAACACAACUUUCUCAGAGGCCAGGUCUAUCCAGGCCUUGCUGCUUUCCAGUUGCCAGAUCUGUUAUCUGAUGCUAGUUAUGGUUGUUGAUUUGGAAUAUUCACUCUCAGCCUCGGGAAAAUCCCUGCAGAUGCCCAUUUCCUUGUGUUCUUCAUUAUUUAGCCCAGGAUUAUUAUUAUUAUUAUUAUUAUUAUUAUUAUUAUUAUUUAUACCCCGCCCAUCUGGCUGGGCUUCCCCAGCCACUCUGGGCGGCUUCCAAGCAAAUAUUAAAAUACAGCAAUACAUCAAACAUUAAAAGCCUUCCUUCAGAUGUCUUCUAAAAGUUUGGUAGUUGUCGUUCUCUUUGACAUCUGGUGGGAGGGCGUUCCACAGGGCGGGCACCACUACCGAGAAGGCCUUCUGCCUGGUUCCCUGUAACUUGGCUUCUCACAGCCAGGGAACCACCAGAAGGCCCUCGGCACUGGACCUCAGUGUCCGGGUAGAACAAUGGGGGUGGAUAUCCUAAGUACCACUUGUACAUCCAAAACUGAUCACUGAGAUCACCCAGAGGAGCACUGUUAGUUGUCUCCCAUGGACUGGAAGCACACCUCAGGUCAAUGAGAAGUCAUGCUUCAGUGUUGUGGACCCAGGUCUGUGAAAGAUCUCCUACAAUAAGUCAGACAGGCACUAUCGCUGCUGAGUUUCAAAUGCCUUAUUAAAACCAUUUUUGCCACUGGCCCCACCCACCACUGACAUGUGAUCCCUGGACUGAAAAGGGUUCCUCAAUCCUGGUGUAAAGAAACCACUCACCUGGGAGUAAGCAACAAUGCACUCAGUGGGCCUUACUUUUGAGCUGAUGUGUAGGAUUGCACUGUCCAGCUCCCACGGUGUUGAUGCCAACCCACCAUUUCUGUGCCAUUCAGCAAACUGCCCUUGCUCUGUCAUCCCUGCCCCUUCUCUGCCCCCCGCUGCUCUUUUCCUGACCCCUUUGCUGCCACAGUACAGUUCUUACGACUGUCUUUAUUUUCCCUAUCUCAGAGAGACCGAACUGGAGUUGUGCCAUUUUGGAAAUCCCCAACUCAGCCGUUCUCAGUGAGAACAAAAUAGGCCAGAGGCUAGAGUUUCAUUUGAAUAUAAUAUUUUUAAUGCUCUUGGCGGACUUUGGGAAACCUCACUGAAUCUCUUCCUGGCUCGGAACCCUUCCUACCAUUUCCUGGUUCAGAACCCAUCCUUCCUAGUCUUCCCACAAUCAAGGAAGAAUCUGCCACAGCUCGUUUAUGAUGCUUUCCUAAAUCUGAUGUGACAAGAUCAAGUUCCAUUUACAAGGGUCAGGGAGUGUAGUCAUUAGCUACAGCUAAAGCAAAAUCCCAUCGUGCAAUCACACAGUUUUGGCAGCAGCUUUGAGGAGUGAGUCUUAAGCCUUUGGAAAUACGACGACAUAUACAGUAGGAAAUUUCCAAUUGCAAAGGAAAUGGUAAUGACUCGAGCAACGGUUAGUUCUCACACUUUUAAGGACAAGUAGCAGCAAUGUGAAUCAUCAAAAAUAAAUUUGAAGUCUGUUUCUUGGUUCUUGAGGGUCUGCAGGUGUGCCAAAGCAUACAUGUUCUUCAUACUUUCCAGUAUCGGCAAACCAGAGCCUCUCACUUGAGAAAAAUAUCCCCUAUUCCAACAGCGUCUGAGGUCAAUUCCCAGACUCCAAGUGAUCUGCAUUUGUAGGGGGCGGCUGUGCAGCCCAAUUUCACAAUUAGGGUAGAAUAGAAGACUGUCACAAGGCAUUUACAUCUAACCAAUCAGGGGCAGCUCAUGUGGUGCCUCCCAGAUGUUGUUAGCCUACAACUACCAUCAUCCCUAGGGAUGCGGUGGCGCUGUGGGUUAAACCACUGAGCCUAGGACUUGCCGAUCAGAAGGUCGGCGGUUCGAAUCCCCGCAACGGGGUGAGCUCCCGUUGCCCGGUCCCUGCUCCUGCCAACCUAGCAGUUUGAAAGCAUGUCAAAGUGCAAGUCGAUAAAUAGGUACCACUCCGGCAGGAAGGUAAACGGCGUUUCCAUGCGCUGCUCUGGUUCACCAGAAGUGGCAUAGUCAUGCUGGCCACAUGACCCGGAAGCUGUACACUGGCUCCUCGGCCAAUAAAGCAAGAUGAGCGCCGCAACCCCAGAGUCGAUCACGACUGGACCUAAUGGCCAGGGGUCCCUUUACCCUUUACCUUUACCAUCAUCCCUGACUAUGGGCUAUGCUGACAGGGCCUGAUUGGUGGUGUAGUCCAAGCACAUGGCCUCUCUGUGCUAUCGUUCAUAAACCAACCCCUGCCCUGAGGCAGAAUUUACAAUCUAAAUGUCAUGAGCCCAGCGGCACUGUUGUGACUGGGCUUGAGCUGGCAGGCUCGGAUGGGGGGAGGAGGAGGAAGUCGAUAGUGGACUGAAUUGUGGGAACCUUGGUUGGGAGGUAUCUCCUCAUUCCAUCCCUAGUCAGUUUAGAAGGGUGAGCAGGGAUGCUGGCUCUCUCCUCCCACAACACUCCUGCAGAGUGGAGAGCCUCUUGGGAGGUCUUUGAUCAGCCAGUGGGGAGGCUGAAGAGGAGGUGGCAGCAAAUCAACAGGAGGGUGCAGUCUUGUUACCUAGAUCUGUCAGUGGGAGCAAACCCACCUGCCUCGACUGAGUGCGUGCUUGCAAUCUUGAUAUUCCUGCAAGGCAAGAGAGUGGGAAGGUUGGAGGAACUUGUUGGGAUAUCUUUGUUGCCUCCUUCCAGUUCUGAACUUCUUGCCUUGCUCCUUGACUCAUGAAUCAUGAGUCCUGAGCACUGUGUCUGCUACGGAACAUGUACUGUUACUUGCCUAAAUAAAUAUCUCUUUCCUAUUUCCAAGUAAGAGCUUCUAUCUGCGUGUAUUGAGUGGGACACUAAAAUUAAACUAAGAGACAGCAAUAGAGGGGUGGGUGAAAUACAGAGGCAAGGGUAACACAGAAAGUAUAUGUGUUGAAGUUCAGCUACACAUACUUACAAGUUAGUUUCGGGGGGGGAAUUGAGUCACUAAAAGACUAGUCUAUGAAUGUCAUGGAUAAUGUGCUUUUCGAAUAGUGAUGUGCUGAGGUUUGUGCUUCUGGUUUUGGAAAUAAGACCCUUAGGAAUUAAGCACUUGCAAUGCACACCUCAAAUGUGAGGUGGGCAUUAUGACCCGUGCAUUCUUCUUCAGCUGAAAGUUUUAUCCAGACUGGAAAAGAAUGUUCCUCCUCUCCUCCAAUUUAUCUGGUUGGUAUUCUGACGGUGGUAAAUUCUUGGCUCACGCAUAGCUGCUUUUAACACAUUAAGGGUGGCCAGACUUUGAAUUCAAAUAAGGUGGAAGUGAUGCAAGGAUCAAUAAUUACAAAAUAAGAAUGUGAUGCAGAUUUCUCAGGUGAAGCAAUGAAGUGUAUGGUUUAAAUUUAAGGGGAAACUAUUGCAAGAUAUUAUACUGUUGGCAUCUCAGACCAAACACAGUGAACAAGAUCUACAAAGUGAAAAUAAAACAAAUUGCUUACCUAUGUGGUGGGCAUGUCUUGCCAUGCAGACAUGAGCCAGGUUAAGAAGGUGGUGCUUAGAAUAAUCAAGGUAUACCAGUACAUACCAAUGCAACAGUACUUUUUUGACCAAAAGUGCAUGGCUCCUUCAUAUCAAACCGUCUAACUGCUGCCAAACUUAAAAUAACAAAAAAGGAGAAAUUUAUAAAUACCUACAUGUAAAUUAAUGGAUUGGCAGAGUACAACAAUUCUCCAAAUUAAGACAAAGGUUCAAGGAACAUAGCAUAACGAAAACAGGUAUUGUAGAACAACGUCCUCUAUUUAUUUUUGAAAGCAGAAUUAUAAUAGGGAUGAUCCAUAAAUAAACAUAUACCUGAAUUCCGCUCACCAUUUUUAUAUCUAUGAUCUGGAAUCUUUUAGAUUGAUGCUUUAAGAUAUGGUUUUUAUACUGCAAUGUAGUAUGUGUGUGUGUGUGUUUUACUAUAUAUGUUGUUCUUUUGCUAUUUUUGUUGGGCGUUGCUUCAGAAGCAUUUCUUGGGAAGCAGUUUGUAAAUCCUUGAUUCAUUAGUCAGUUUUGUAAAAUGCUUUUCUAACUGUAAUACCUCUCUCUCUCUCUCUCUGUGUGUGUGUGUGUGUGUGUGUGUAUGCACAGAAGAAUAAGUUGGGUUGCAUCUAUCAUAAAAUUUAUUUUUGCCCUUUGAAUGAGAAGGUCUAAAAGGCACCAAAAGUGCAACGUUUGUUUCUGACCUAAAUCCGGAAUGGUUUCUCAUUCAUGUAUAUGCUUCUUUAUCACACACAUUGAUGCUGCACUAACCUGAAAUUACCCGAAACAGCUUGUAGAUGCUCAAAAGGCGCAGGUUUUCCCACCUGAAUUCCUACCUGGGAGAGGGCGGGAGCUUGGGGUAGCUGGUUUUCAUUUCAGCGUGUCUCAAAGAGAUCAGUUCCUGUGCUGAAAGACAAGCCCAAGACAAUGUUUUACAGAGCAGAAGAUAUUGUGAGGGACCAAUUAUCACAUAAGUGGUUCUCACGGCUUGGGUUGGCACUGUGUGCCAGGUUGCACAUUAACCUCUUUCACUUCAUUUUACCCAGUUUACUCAACAUUCUCAAGUGGUUGCUUUGUCAAUUGUUCCGCCUGCUGAUGUUUCGACAGAUGAUAGCCCCUUGAUGCCAGCUUAGCAUUGCUAAUAAGAAAUAGGCCAGCACGAAACUUUAGACCAAGGAGGUGCUCUUGCAGAAUGGAGCUGAGGUGGGUGGGGAGUGGGGGAUUGAUUCUGAACGAUCAUUACAUUUUGCUAAACCAACCAUCCCACUUUUGUUUCUUCCGCAUGCAAAGACAAUACUCACUUUAUCCUAGAAGAAAAGUAUUGCAUGCGCAGAUGUGUAGAUGUGGGGGGGAGCAGUUCUUUUCUGCUGCGCUGUAUUCUCAGCAGUUGUGGCAGCGGUGGUGCCAGGGGGAUGUUAGCAGGAUAGCCACAAGUAUAACCAUGGUUGCAUAACAGAGAGAAUAUUUGUCAUGUACAGUGGAACCUCGGUUUUUGAAUGUAAUCCGUUCUGGAAGUCUGUUUGACUUCCAAAACAUUCAAAAACCGAGGAUCAAAAGGCUGUCAGCAAGUUUAAUGGGGGAGGAGGAGUGAAAAACGUGCCUCGGAAGCUGUUCAACUUCUGAGGCAUGUUCAAAAUCGGAAGCAUUCACUUCCGGGUUUUCAGCAUUCGACUUCCAAAACGUUCAGCAGCCAAGACUUUUGAAAACCGAGGUUUGACUGUAUUCCAAGACACAAGAUACCAAGUAAUUUCAAACAACGUUGGCAGUUCUGUAACCAAGGCAAACCAAGUUUGUACGCGUCUCUCUCAGCUAGGGAUGAGGGGGAAAGUUUGAUUCAAUUUGCAUUAAGUAGGUGAACCUACUUAAUUCACACGUUCUGAAACAAUUAUGAACUGAAACACAGCAAUCCAUCUAAAGUUGCACUUUCCUGAAUUUUGCAAGGCAGUUUCCCCGCCAAGUAAUGUGUACAAAAAUACAUAUACUAGGGUGAAGUACGCAUAUUAGUGAAAAGAACAAAUGUACAAUCCUGGGCAAAAUUGCUUUGCAAAUAAAUAUGCGUAUUAGGGAAAACAGCAAACAAACGUGUACAUUAGGGUAAAGCAAGUCUAGAGUGGGAGACUAGAGUGAUGUCUGCUGUUUCUAGGAGUUCUUCUCAUUACAAGGCUUUUCUGUGUGAGCUGUGAAUUUCUUUGGACACUGGGUGAGAACCCAGAAGCUGUGAGGGAGGGUGUGUUAGAAGGAAAAUAAACUGACAUUGAUUUAUAUAUAUUAGCAACUUUGAAUUAAUGUAACAUUUUUACAGUGGUACCUCGGGUUACAUACGCUUCAGGUUACAUACGCUUCAGGUUAGACUCAACUAACCCAGAAAUAGUGCUUCAGGUUAAGAACUUUGCUUCAGGAUGAGAACAGAAAUCGUGCUCCGGCGGUGCGGCAGCAGCAGGAGGCCCCAUUAGUUAAAGUGGUGCUUCAGGUUAAGUACAGUUUCAGGUUAAGAACGGACCUCCGGAACGAAUUAAGUACUUAACCCGAGAUACCACUGUAUAUGUAACUCUGUAUUUUUGCAAUAGUUUGUUGCUGCUUCAGUUUUUUGUACAUCUCCUAGAGAUAUUUUAAAAAACAUAUUCAGCAGUAUAGAAAUCAAUCAAUCAAUUUACACUAAAAUGCCAAUUUUUCAAGAACUUUGAAAAAUGCAAAUUGAUGUGCAAAUUUGGAGAAAUGAACUUAAAACUGGAAAAAUGAGAACCUAAAAGUAACCAAAAUUGGCAGAUUAACCCAUCUCUCCUCUCUCUCUCUCUGUCAUCACACAAACAUCUGUACAGAGAAGUCCCUACAAAGUCAACCCCCACUUCAAAUCCAGAACAAGAUUAUAGCCUAACAACUCUGAUCUACAGAUACACUGCAAAGCUACCUUAAGAAAUGUGGUCAAACAUACUGAAACUGUCUUAACUUCCCUCCAAGUCCCUUUUGAUAAUUCCACCUGUCCAGAAACCACCACGUCCCCCCCUUUUUGGUAGUAAUUUCUUCCUGAUCCUUAAUACUUCAUUGACUGUCACUUUCAUUGAAAUAAAGUAGAACAGUAGACUAUGACGUAAGCAUUCACGGACUAGAGUCAGUGUCAUCAGGUUUCAAUGUUUGAGUCCUCUUAAAAUAAUAGGCAUCCUAGUUCUCAACAGAUCCAAUGCAUUGCUGGCAAGAUUUCAUUACAUUUCCUUUCCUGGCGUUUCCACAAGGUGAUCUUAGGGCCUCAAAUAUCUCUUGUGGGUGAGCUCAUGUCAAAUCCAUAGGAGGGAAGAAGGUGUACAAUUCAUACAGACUUUGGAUUUCCCCACUUCUGAGUAGUGUUCUAUAUAAUCAGCCAAUUGCACAUUUAGUCUGCUUUUCUCUCAUACUAGAGGUUACUUAGCAAUAACAACCUUCACACAGGGCUUUUCCUGGGAUUAAUGACAGUCUGGGGGUCAUCAUCUCCUCCCAGUUAGUUAUUAAUCCUCAGGAAACACUUGGUGCCUUGAUCGUUAUUGCUUAAUUAGCAUUGAGAAUGUGUGUGUGCUGGAGAGGAGCAGUGUUAGGUUUCUUUUCAUGUGCCCUGUGAACGGCGGUGGAAGGGCUUUCUCUCAUUAAUUUGUUUUUGGGGGGUCGAGGUGGGAGAAGCAAGCCUUGUGGGCCUUGAAAUUCAGUACAAGGUUAAACCUAUUUAAACAGUCUGAAUUCCCUGUGAAAGCCCAGCUAAAGCCCAGCAUCUGCAGUGUAUCAGGAAAUGCAUUUCCCCAGCUUUAACGGGGUAAAUUUAAAAAAUAAAAUAAAAUCAAGCGUUGUUGUCAACAGGUCAGGGCAAACAAGAGACAGUGAUUGGGAGCAGAAACUGGUCCCCAAAGGGGGCCUUAGGGAGCAAGGGAAACCUUCAGGGGCAAGCAGAAUAACAAGGCCUUCCCCUCCAACAGCCAAGUUUACAAGCCACGUCAAAAAUAAUUGUACAUCAGGAAAGUUUGUGUGUCUUUGUGUGUGAUUCUCCCCCCGCCCCGACUUCCUCGGUGUUCCAGGAAAUGCAGAGGAUUUGAAAAUAAUAAGGCAGAAAUCCCCCUCCCCCAAAGGAAAAAAAACACAUUUAGAAAUGAAUUGGUUCAAUUAAAUUCAUGCAUUAAUCGCAGAUGUUGAGCGUAAAAUGGUAACUGGAUUUUAAUUGGUGUUGCUCCUGCCUUGGGAAGUGCUAAGUGCCCUGUAAUUCAAGCAAUGGACUUAAAAUGUAUUUCCGGACAAGGAAGAAGGCACUUUUUGGGUUUUGAGUUGUGGUGAAACAUAAACACCUUCAAAAUAACAUCUCUAGUAGGGAAUGAAGAUAUAUUAAAUUGAUAUUUCAUUAGCUUUCAUGAUCUCCCUCUUUCUCCCAAACAGAAGAAACCCAGAGCUGCACCCUUCUCCGUCGCUAGUGAAGCCAAAACAUAAUGAUCAGGGAACCAUGGUAGGCAUUCUCAUCAAUGAAUUAAACUGCAAAAGGCAAAAGAAGCC